rnacentral:rRNA from 1 species
AACGAACGCUGGCGGCAUGCCUAACACAUGCGAGUCGAACGAGACCUUCGGGUCUAGUGGCGCACGGGUGCGUAACGCGUGGGAACCUGCCCUUAGGUUCGGAAUAACCCCCCGAAAGGGGUGCUAAUACCGGAUAAUGUCUUCGGACCAAAGAUUUAUCGCCUUUGGAUGGGCCCGCGUUGGAUUAGCUAGUUGGUAGGGUAAAAGCCUACCAAGGCGACGAUCCAUAGCUGGUCUGAGAGGAUGAUCAGCCACACUGGGACUGAGACACGGCCCAGACUCCUACGGGAGGCAGCAGUGGGGAAUAUUGGACAAUGGGCGAAAGCCUGAUCCAGCAAUGCCGCGUGAGUGAUGAAGGCCUUAGGGUUGUAAAGCUCUUUUACCCGGGAUGAUAAUGACAGUACCGGGAGAAUAAGCUCCGGCUAACUCCGUG